rnacentral:rRNA from 1 species
UGGGGAAUUUUGCACAAUGGGGGAAACCCUGAUGCAGCGACGCCGCGUGAUUUAGAAGGCCUUCGGGUUGUAAAAAUCUUUUUUACGGGAUGAAAAUGACAGUACCGUAAGAAUAAGGUCCGGCUAAAUACGUGCCAGCAGCCGCGGUAAUACGUAUGGACCGAGCGUUGUCCGGAAUCAUUGGGCGUAAAGGGUACGUAGGCGGCCUAGUAAGUUAGAAGUGAAAUAAUAUAGCUCAACUAUAUAAAGCUUUUAAAACUGCUAGGCUUGAGAGAUGGAAGGGAAAGUGGAAUUCCUAGUGUAGCGGUGAAAUUCGCAGAUAUUAGGAAGAAUACCGGUGGCGAAGGCGACUUUCUGGUCAUCAUCUGACGCUGAGGUACGAAAGCGUGGGUAGCAAACAGG